GCCGAGGUAGCUCAGUCGGUAGAGCAGGGGACUGAAAAUCCCCGUGUCGGCAGUUCGAUUCUGCCCCUCGGCACCA
rnacentral:tRNA from 1 species